GGGAUAUGAUGAGUGGUUGAAUCUCGCAAUUAAUAAUGCGAGUUGGGUGUCUGCCCCAGCCUGGUUACGACAAUUGGGCGCUCAAUCUUUUUCCAAUCUGAUCCC
rfam:Lupinus angustifolius cultivar Tanjil contig_31173, whole genome shotgun sequence.